rnacentral:rRNA from 1 species
UGAUGUGAAGCGAAACUACAAAAAGUAAGUCUCAGUUCGGAUUGAAGGCUGAAAUUCGCCUUCAUGAAGCCGGAAUUGCUAGUAAUGGCAGGUCAGCAUACUGCCGUGAAUACGUUCCCGGGCCUUGUACACACCGCCCGUCACACCAUGAGAGUUGGAGAUACCCGAAGCCUGUGAGCUAACUUUUAGAGGCAGCAGUCGAAGGUAGAAUCAAUGAUUGGGGUGAAGUCGUAACAAGGUACC